rnacentral:rRNA from 1 species
UACAGAGGGUGCGAGCGUUGUCCGGAAUCACUGGGCGUAAAGGGCGCGUAGGUGGCGCCGCAAGUCCAUGGUGAAAGCUCGAUGCUCAACAUCGAGUCGGCCACGGAGACUGCGGGGCUCGAGCACUGUAGGGGCAGAUGGAAUUCCGGGUGUAGCGGUGGAAUGCGUAGAGAUCCGGAGGAACACCCGUGGCGAAGGCGGCUCUCUGGGACGGUACUGACACUGAGACGCGAAAGCGUGGGGAGCGAACAGG